CUACGGGAGGCAGCAGUGGGGAAUUUUGGACAAUGGGGGCAACCCUGAUCCAGCAAUGCCGCGUGUGUGAAGAAGGCCUUCGGGUUGUAAAGCACUUUUGGCGGGAACGAAACAGCACUUGCUAAUACCGAGUGCGAAUGACGGUACCCGCAGAAUAAGCACCGGCUAACUACGUGCCAGCAGCCGCGGUAAUACGUAGGGUGCAAGCGUUAAUCGGAAUUACUGGGCGUAAAGCGUGCGCAGGCGGCUUUGUAAGACAGAUGUGAAAGCCCCGGGCUUAACCUGGGAAGUGCAUUUGUGACUGCAAGGCUAGAGUGCGUCAGAGGGAGGUGGAAUUCCGCGUGUAGCAGUGAAAUGCGUAGAGAUGCGGAGGAACACCGAUGGCGAAGGCAGCCUCCUGGGAUGACACUGACGCUCAUGCACGAAAGCGUGGGGAGCAAACAGGAUUAGAUACCCUGGUAGUCC
rnacentral:rRNA from 1 species